CGGACUGUGCUUCAAAUGCAGCAAACAAGGAUACUGGGCAAAAGAUUGCCCUAACCCUGGCAUUUCUCUAGGACCAUGUCCAUACUGCAACCUUAAAGGGCAUUGGAAGAGUGACUGUCCUAGCUGCCAGAGAGCAGAUAAGCCAUCCUCUAAUCCCUCGCCCUCACAGGAGACUCUGUCAAUGCCAGAUUCGUUGCUGACUGAUCUGCUCGGACUUGCUGCAGAAGAUUGGUGGGGCUCGGGGCUCACAGUCCCACUCUGGUAACCUUGUCAGAGCCCCGAGUCUCACUGCAGCUCUCAGGUGCACCCCAUGGAUUGAUCCACAGGCCGGAUCAAGUGGUGCCCAACGUGGGGCUCCUGGGACAGAGGAGUCAACGAGGGAGCCAUUCAACACAGCCAGCUUAAACUGAAAGUGAAAGCAAAUUGAACCAAAGACCACGGCGAGGAGGGAGCAAACUAAAUCAAGGAUUAAAGCUAAAAGUAACAGGACAUUAAAUCAAGUGCCGAGGCCUGUGCAGACUACUACCCAACAUCCUGCCCAAGUCAUGGUGACACAACCCCCUGGAGCCUUAUGCUGCCUACUCAGCCUCUUCCUUGAGCCAUACUACACCCAUGGUGGAUUUAGACCCCUGCCAAACAGACUACAACUGCUGACAGCCAUGCACAGAACCCCCUAUGACUGCAGAAGAGGCUCUUCUCAGUCUAGAGAAACAUAAACCAGCCAAAUAGACUGCGUCCAGUGUUAUGCGAGAUAAGCUCCAAGACAUAGGAGAAUGACUUCAACAGAGAUACCAACAAAUGGCUGCCAACCCUUUCUCCUCGAUAUGUGUGUGUGUGUGGGGGGGCUUUUCCCUUACCUAGUGCCCCUUUUGGGUCCCCUAGCUGCCUUGUUGCUUCUCCUUUCUGUGAGUCCUUGUAUUUUUCAGAGGAUUACGAUGCUCAUUAAUAACCAGAUAGAUGCAUUUAUGGCAAAGCCCAUUCAAGUACACUAUCAUCAGCUGGAGAUGGCAGAUCAACAAACCUACUGGGAAGGAAUUCCCACGAGUAGCCCAUAUGAUGAUGUGGCUUAACUGCCCUGGGGCAAUGGACAGACAGUCAGAGAUGGGCAACUAGGACAUGCAUGUUAAUUCCAAAGGCCACCUAAGACAGGCACAAGACCAACUGAUGUUCUGCAAGCCCAUGAUGGGUAAAGCCUGGUUGGGUUCAUGCAAUGAGGUCCUUGACCUAAGACAGAUGCUGUCCGGCAGGGCCUGCCAUACUCCUGAUUAAAUAAUAUAGAAAGGGAGGAGAUGUAGGGAGCCGAGCAACAGCCCAUUGCUGCCUCCCUGCCUCUCUCUCUCCUAUGGGCACUGCGUCUGCCUACAUUAACCAUAAUCCUCUCCUGCUUACGUCACAUACCCGGACGUGACGGUGACCCUGUUGUAUUCAUCCCCAUAGCCUCUUCCUGUCCCACCUCCCGCUCUUGGCCUAUAAAAGAGGUAAUCACUUCCGGAAUAAACUGGGGGCUUG